rnacentral:rRNA from 1 species
UACGGAGGGUGCAAGCGUUAAUCGGAAUCACUGGGCGUGAAGCGCUCGUAGGCGGUUUUGUCGGUCAGAUGUGAAAGCCCGGGGCUCAACCCCGGACGUGCAUUUGAAACAGCAAGACUUGAGUACGGGAGAGGAAAGCGGAAUUCCUGGUGUAGAGGUGAAAUUCGUAGAUAUCAGGAGGAACACCGAUGGCGAAGGCAGCUUUCUGGACCGAUACUGACGCUGAGGCGCGAAGGCGUGGGUAGCGAACAGGAUUAGAUACCCUGGUAGUCCACGCAGUAAACGAUGUACACUCGGUGUAGCGGAUAUUAAAAUCUGCUGCGCCCAAGCUAACGCAUUAAGUGUACCGCCUGGGGAGUACGGUCGCAAGACUAAA